UACGUAGGUGGCAAGCGUUGUCCGGAUUUACUGGGCGUAAAGGGCGCGCAGGCGGUCGUUCAAGUCGAGUGUGAAAGCCCCCGGCUCAACUGGGGAGGGUCACUCGAUACUGAUCGACUCGAAGGCAGAAGAGGGAAGCGGAAUUCCCGGUGUAGUGGUGAAAUGCGUAGAUAUCGGGAGGAACACCAGUGGCGAAGGCGGCUUUCUGGUCUGCUCUUGACGCUGAGGCGCGAAAGCUAGGGUAGCAAACGGG
rnacentral:rRNA from 1 species